rnacentral:rRNA from 1 species
CGCGUAGGCGGCUAGGCAAGUCGGAGGUGAAAUCCCUCGGCUCAACCGAGGAACUGCCUCCGAAACUGCCUGGCUUGAGUCCCGGAGAGGGUAGUGGAAUUCCCAGUGUAGCGGUGAAAUGCGUAGAUACUGGGAGGAACACCAGCGGCGAAGGCGGCUACCUGGACGGGUACUGACGCUGAGGCGCGAAAGCGUGGGGAGCAAACA